UGGGGAAUCUUGCACAAUGGGGGAAACCCUGAUGCAGCGACGCCGCGUGAGUGAUGAAGUCCUUCGGGAUGUAAAGCUCUUUCGACAGGGACGAUUAUGACGGUACCUGGAGAAGAAGCUGCGGCUAACUACGUGCCAGCAGCCGCGGUAAUACGUAGGCAGCGAACGUUGUUCGGAGUUACUGGGCGUAAAGAGUGCGUAGGCGGCAAUUCAAGUCAUCUGUGAAAUCUCCGGGCUUAACUCGGAACGGUCAGAUGAUACUGCUUUGCUAGAGUGCAGAAGGGGCAAUCGGAAUUCUUGGUGUAGCGGUGAAAUGCGUAGAUAUCAAGAGGAACACCUGAGGUGAAGACGGGUUGCUGGGCUGACACUGACGCUGAGGCGCGAAAGCCAGGGGAGCAAACGGGAUUAGAUACCCCUGUAGUCCCUGAGCGGGCUGGCAAGGCGCAU
rnacentral:rRNA from 1 species